rnacentral:lncRNA from 1 species
AAACAGAAGAUGUAUGGCAAAAUAUGGAGUCCUUUCCUUGGAUAUAUAUUAUAAUGUAGCUGUAACUAUUAUUUUUUAAUAUAUUUUUCUUCUUUUCACAUGUCAUUUUCUUUUGUAACGGAUUCCAUUAGUCUGGAAACUGUAUGGGGAAAAGGAGCAAUCGCUGGCUCUCCGUAUGAAGAAUAUGAAUCACUGGGUCAUCGGGGAACAUAUUGAAUCAUCAGGAAAACAUUAGAAAGCACUGGUACGCUACAUGAAUUCAUGACACAAGAAAGCAAGUCUGCAUGUGUUGACUUAAGCUGUGAUAAGAAUAAAGUUAAUUAAUGAUAAUACAUUAGAGUCAUUGCAUAAAAUGAAUCCCGUUUUUACUUGAGAAAUAAACCAACAUAAAAGUGCUGUAACUAGGCUAUAAUAAAUGUGUGAUUUCAAAACAU